CGCACUCCCCACAAUCAGAAUCAACCCUUUUCUCCUUUACCUUGAAUUAAUCACCAAACUACAUCCCUCAGUACACUUCUUUUAGUUUGAAAUGGGGGUUGAGUUGACGACUUGACUCUGAUCAAUAUAGUCUAUAUGGAGUUUGCAAGUCCGUGGCCCAAAUUCAGAAAAUCAUCAGCCUGAGACAAAGUUAAUGAAUUCCAUGCUAAAUGAAGGGAUCAGUGUAUUGGGAAAAAUUGAGUUUACAUAUUAAAGUGGUAUAAAGAUGACGUGUCAUGACACGUAGAUUGAUCAAAGAGUUAUGAUUGGCAAA